UUCUAGAAGAAGACCUGGUCUCUACCCUCCGUGGAAGGACAGGUGGUCACUUUAUCCCACUGCCCAUCAGUAUUAGCUUUCAAGUAUUAUGCAAGAGCAUUUGCUCCCUCACAACCACCAGGCUAGGCAACCCAUCCCAGGCCAGACAAAUCCAUCCCAGGUUUGCCAGAAUUCUUUAGUACAUCUAACUUAGAUCUGUACGGCAAAUGCAAAUGCUCCGGUAGGUUCCCCCCCCCACCCCCCCCACCCCAAUCACUGUACACUGGUCUUUGCAUGGGGCUUUUAACCCUGUGUGGAAAGCACUUUGGGGUUACUUGUUAACGGUCUUCUGUGUGGGCCCGAUACACGUAACAAUUGCUGGUUGCAUUCAGGUUUCGCUUCCUAGACAGAAAAGACAAACCCCACUCCCUUGCUAGCACUGAGUGGCACAUUCUGCUUCAUCUCUUAUUCACGGCUCCCAAAAUCACGACCCCUGCAGUCAGAAUUGUAGCUAUAAUCAUGACUUUUGUGUCCUCCGCUUUCUCCACGAGGUGGCGAUUUUCCAGGUUCUGUCAGUCGCUGCUUGCAGAUGCAACGUUUCUCGUUUCUGUCACAUUAAAUGGCCCAGUCAUUCUUUCCCACCCUUCCUUUCUCUUGAUCCCAUUCUCUUCCACCCUUCAUUUCACUUGACCCUUUCUCUUCCACCAUUCAU